rnacentral:rRNA from 1 species
UACGGAGGGUGCGAGCGUUGUUCGGAAUCAUUGGGCGUAAAGGGCGUGUAGGUGGUCUGCUAAGUCAUGUGUGAAAGCCCUCAGCUCAACUGGGGAAGUGCGCAUGAAACUGACAGGCUAGAGUACCGAAGAGGAAGGUGGAAUUCCCGGUGUAGCAGUGAAAUGCGUAGAUAUCGGGAGGAACACCGGUGGCGAAGGCGGCCUUCUGGUCGGAUACUGACGCUAAAACGCGAAAGCGUGGGGAGCAAACAGGAUUAGAUACCCUGGUAGUCCACGCUGUAAACGAUGGGCACUAGGUGUCCGGGGUAUUGACCCCCUGGGUGCCGCAGCUAACGCAUUAAGUGCCCCGCCUGGGGAGUACGGUCGCAAGAUUAAA